UAAUACGGAGGGUCCGAGCGUUAUCCGGAAUCAUUGGGUUUAAAGGGUCCGCAGGCGGUCGAUUAAGUCAGAGGUGAAAUCCCAUAGCUCAACUAUGGAACUGCCUUUGAUACUGGUUGACUUGAGUCAUAUGGAAGUAGAUAGAAUGUGUAGUGUAGCGGUGAAAUGCAUAGAUAUUACACAGAAUACCGAUUGCGAAGGCAGUCUACUACGUAUGUACUGACGCUGAGGGAUGAAAGCGUGGGGAGCGAACAGGAUUAGAUACCCUGGUAGUCCACGCCGUAAACGAUGGAUACUAGUUGUUGGGAUUUAUCUCAGUGACUAAGCGAAAGUGAUAAGUAUCCCACCUGGGGAGUACGGUCGCAAGACUG
rnacentral:rRNA from 1 species